rnacentral:rRNA from 1 species
AGAAGCUUGCUUCUUUGCUGACGAGUGGCGGACGGGUGAGUAAUGUCUGGGAAACUGCCUGAUGGAGGGGGAUAACUACUGGAAACGGUAGCUAAUACCGCAUAACGUCGCAAGACCAAAGAGGGGGACCUUCGGGCCUCUUGCCAUCGGAUGUGCCCAGAUGGGAUUAGCUAGUAGGUGGGGUAACGGCUCACCUAGGCGACGAUCCCUAGCUGGUCUGAGAGGAUGACCAGCCACACUGGAACUGAGACACGGUCCAGACUCCUACGGGAGGCAGCAGUGGGGAAUAUUGCACAAUGGGCGCAAGCCUGAUGCAGCCAUGCCGCGUGUAUGAAGAAGGCCUUCGGGUUGUAAAGUACUUUCAGCGGGGAGGAAGGGAGUAAAGUUAAUACCUUUGCUCAUUGACGUUACCCGCAGAAGAAGCACCGGCUAACUCCGUGCCAGCAGCCGCGGUAAUACGGAGGGUGCAAGCGUUAAUCGGAAUUACUGGGCGUAAAGCGCACGCAGGCGGUUUGUUAAGUCAGAUGUGAAAUCCCCGGGCUCAACCUGGGAACUGCAUCUGAUACUGGCAAGCUUGAGUCUCGUAGAGGGGGGUAGAAUUCCAGGUGUAGCGGUGAAAUGCGUAGAGAUCUGGAGGAAUACCGGUGGCGAAGGCGGCCCCCUGGACGAAGACUGACGCUCAGGUGCGAAGGCGUGAGGAGCAAACAGGAUUAGAUACUCUGGUAGUCCACGCCGUAAACGAUGUCGACUUGGAGGUUGUGCCCUUGAGGCGU